rnacentral:rRNA from 1 species
AUACGGAGGAUCCGAGCGUUAUCCGGAUUUAUUGGGUUUAAAGGGUGCGCAGGCGGGAGAUUAAGUCGGCGGUGAAAUUUUGCAGCUCAACUGGAAAAGUGGCUUCGACCCCGGUUUCCUUGAGUGUGGAUGAAGUAGGGGGAAUUUGUGGUGCAGCGGUGGAAUGCUUAGAUAUCACGAGGAACUCCGAUUGCGCAGGCAGCUUACUAAACCACUACUGACGCUCAGGCACGAAGGCGUGGGGAUCAAACAGGAUUAGAUACCCUGGUAGUCCACGCAGUAAACGAUGAUUACUGGCUGUUUGCGAUACAAUGUAAGCGGCUGAGCGAAAGCGCUAAGUAAUCCACCUGGGGAGUACGUUCGCAAGAAUGAAACUCAAAUGAAUUGACGGGG